CCUACGGGAGGCAGCAGUAGGGAAUUUUGCGCAAUGCGGGAAACACUGAAGCAGCGACGCCGCGUGAAUGAUGAAGGUUUUCGGAUUGUAAACUCCUUUUGUUAGGGAAGAUAAUGACGGUAUCUAACGAAUAAGCACCGGCUAACGCCGUGCCAGCAGCCGCGGUAAUACGGAGGGUGCAAGCGUUCCGCGGAAUAACUGGGCGUAAAGAGCACGUAGGCGGGAUAGCAAGUCAGAUGUGAAAGCCUAUGGCUUAACCAUAGAACUGCAUUUGAAACUGUUAUUCUAGAGUAUGGGAGAGGUAGGUGGAAUUCCUGGUGUAGGGGUAAAAUCCGUAGAGAUCAAGAGGAAUACUCAUAGCGAAGGCGACCAGCUAGAACAUAACUGACGCUGAGGCGCGAAAGCGUGGGGAGCAAACAGGAUUAGAUACCCCUGUAGUC
rnacentral:rRNA from 1 species